rnacentral:rRNA from 1 species
AUUGAACGCUGGCGGCAUGUCUUACACAUGGAAGUCGAACGGCAGCGGGGGAGAAGCUUGCUUUUCCUGCCGGCGAGUGGCGAACGGGUGAGUAAUACAUCGGAACGUGCCCUGUAGUGGGGGAUAACUAGUCGAAAGAUUAGCUAAUACCGCAUACGACCUGAGGGGGAAAGUGGGGGACCGCAAGGCCUCAUGCUAUAGGAGCGGCCGAUGUCUGAUGAGCUAGUUGGUGGGGUAAAGGCCUACCAAGGCGACGAGUGGUAGCUGGUCGGGGAGGACGGUCAGCCACACUGGGACUGAGACACGCCGCAGACUCCUACGGGAGGCAGCAGUGGGGAAUUUUGGACAAUGGGCGAAAGCCUGAUCCAGCAAUGCCGCGUGUGUGAAGGAGGCCUUCGGGUUGGAAAGCACUUUUGUCCGGAAAGAAAUGGCUCUGGUUAAUACCUGGGGUCGAUGACGGUACCGGAAGAAUAAGGACCGGCUAACUACGUGCCAGCCGCCGCCGUAA